GUCAGAAACACGAGUCAAGGUGGGCGGAGAGAGAUCAGGGGAGGACAGGUAGAUUUGCGUGUCAUCUGCAUAUAAAUGGUAUUGGAUGCCAAAGGAGCUGAUGAGUUUACCAAGGGAGGCAGUAUAGAUAGAGAACAGUAGGGGGCCGAGGACAGAGCCUUGGGGGACGCCGACAGGGAGGGGUUGGGGAGAAGAGGCAGAGCCAGAGAAAGAAACACUGAAAGAGCGCUGGGAGAGGUAGGAGGAGCACCAGGAGAGAGCAGUAUCCCGUAGACCAAGGUUACGGAGAAUGUGAAGAAGCUGUUGAUGAUCAACAGAGUCAAAGGCGGCAGAAAGAUCAAGGAGGAUUAGGAUAGAGUAUUGGCAGCAAGAUUUAGAAGCAAUUAAAUCAUUGGAUACUUUGGUCACAGCAGUUUCGACAGAGUGACCAGCGCGGAAUCCAG